CAAAAAAUUAGCCAGGUAUAUUUGGUCAAACAUUUAAUUAACUCACCCCCAGUGCCUGGGCAGGGCCAGACCAAAUGAUUACUAGUAGACCCGCAAGCUGGAUGUUCCCCACUCCUGCUCUAAGACCACAAAGCUGAUGGCACUUGCCCUGUUGUCACCUGAUAAGCCUCAAUCCUUAUGUUUCAACUUACCCAAAACCAAAUGUUAUUUUCCACCCUGAAGCCUACCUCUGUGUUAAACCAUGGGAUACGUGCUUUUGCUUAAUUCUGGAGGAAACGAUACAUGAACUGAAUCCUGAAAGAUGGGGGGAGGAGGGAGAAGGAGACAGACACUGACAGAGGCCUACAAGGGGAGGCAUCAGAAGCAGUAAAUGAUAAAACAUGCCAAGUUCUCUUCUACGACCCGUCUGUGGUGGGUGUCUGGACAUAAUGAUCAUCUGGUCCAAUCCCUCCAUUUUCACAUGAAGAAUCCAGGUCCUGAGGAGGGACUUAUCUGAGGCUGCUCUACCCCUGGGAGCCAGCCUCGGUUCUCCCCGCCAAGGCAGGGUGCCGGUGGGAAGAGCUGUUAGGUUAGGUGAGGAGCCGGGGUCGGAGGGAGAAUGUCAGUGUUCUUUGCUAAGGCUGGGUCCAGUGCCACCACCUUUCUCCUACAGCUUUUACUGAGCCUUCAUUUGUGCUCCCUCAGGCUACUUUGCUAGGAACCAGGGCCUCUGGGCAGGUUGUGUCCACCCACUUAACCUGAUGCUUCUACAGCAAGCAUGUCAAACUCAUGGCUCACCGGCCGCAGGUCUGACUUGCUGUUCUGCAGCCUCCUGUGGGGGUUUCUGAGGGAAUGAGAGGGCACUGGACCAAAUUGAGUCAUAGGGUAGGCCAGCAGAUGGUUUCCCUCCCCCUCACUCCCCCCCCCCCCAGUAGGGGGAGCCCUGUGAGAGCCACUGAGAGGUGCAGUUGAAGGUCACAUUGUCCAGCUCAGUGCCUGGUCCAGAGCUGGGCAGCAGGGUUUGGUUUCCUGUUUCAGAGGGAGACCGGAGACUGGUAUAAUCAAUACCAACUCUAGUCUGUAAACAAUGAGAACAUUCUUUUUCCCCCCCAAAAUAUGACUAUUUAUGUCAUACAAUUCAUUAUAAAAAAGUAUACUGAAAAAUCAAGAAGAAAGUAAACUUUACCCUAAACCCACCAUUCCCAUAACCAUGACUGACAGUCAGCUGUUGGGCCUUGCAUCCAUUUGCCCUUCAUGUUCUUUUCAAUUACAGUAGCUACUUUGUGUGGGCACUUACUGCAUGCCAGGCCUAUGCCACGUGCUGGCUGGUAGCAGCUUCUGCUGCCUCGGGGUCCUUGUCCAUGUUGUCUGUUGCUCCAGCUACAGGAACACCAUAUGCAGGUCUCUCCUCAUUGUGUUAGGUUUUGUCUUACAUGUGGGAGGCUUUCCUGACAUCCCAGGUCGGAUCCCUUGUUAGUUUCAUCACACCCUGUUACUUUUCUUUGAUCGCUUGUGCUAUUUAUUGUCUGGGUUGUUGUUUUUUUGUUUAACAGUUGUUCACUAGACUGGCAGCUCUCAGAAAGACAGGAACUAUUUCUGUUUGCCUGCCACAGAGGGUGUUCAAUAAAUAUUAUCAAAGACUG